GGAGCAGGACGACGACGACAGGCAGCUCCUCCAUCCGCCGCCAGGGCCACCCCGCGCGGAAGCGACAGUGGCACCUCCCCGUACGGCGGCCGGCGCGGUUCAAGUCUCCCUUCAAAGCGCGCUGUGAGCGCGGUGGUGGCGCCGGGGGCGGUGGGGGCCGCGGGCGGGGCUCGGCGGGCGCGGUGAUGCGGCAUGAGGGGCUCCCCGUGUGCCCGCCCUGGGUUCCCCGCACCUCCGAGCAGCGCUGGCACCCGCGCGUCCCGGGGCUCCGAAAUACCCCUGUAAGCACGGGGGGAACGAGAGCCGGCGCUUUCAGGGCCCGCGGGCCGAGGCUGCCGCUGUGCGCGGGCUGCAGGAGCUGAGAGGGACCUGCCUGCUGUAGGACAGCGCAGCGGGGCUCCGCUGCCGCGCACAGGUACGGACCCAGGUAUACUGCAAUCACCUUUAAAGAGUACUGUACACACAAAAGAAAAAACAAGUUUGUUCCAAAUGAAGAGUGGAUAUGUGUGGUGUACAGUGUGGCCGGAACUCACCUGACCUGGCACUGCAGAACGUGGCACUGGACUGGAAUGUUUUGGUCUGUGUAUGUGCAGGUCCUCAGUAACUUCUGAACAGCUAUAAUCAGGACAAUAAUACCAGUGGAGGGGGUAAUGCUGCAGGUGAGGUGUAAAUAGAUGGAAGAGACAGCCUGUGAUGAAAGACAUAAAUGGAGAAGACAGAAAAACUGGAAAAAAACUGAAGAAGGAACAGGAAGAGGUUCAUGAACAGACAGCUUUCCAGAAACAAGCUUUUGUUCUCUUAUGGACAGUCCUCUAUCACCCCAGAAGUCCAGUGCUUGUCCAUAUGGAGUAGUGGUGUCACAGCUGUUACAACUUAGAAGAGCAAGGAGUAUGUGUAAAGAAGCUUCAAAGUCACUGAUAUUGUAUUAAGCAAAAUUGAGGGCUGUUCUUUGGAAAGUAAAUUAAUGAAGAAAAAAUUCUCAUGGAAUUUUUAUGGUUUAUGUCAUCUUGAAAGUGGUUACCAUGGACUUCUUAGGAUUUAGUGGCUGUUCUGAUUCACUAAAAAUUGCAGAUGUAGUAGAAAAUAGGUUGAAAUAUUCAUUUAUAUCAGGAAUAAAAUGAUAUGACAUCAGACUAAAAUACGAGGUUUUAAUCUUAAUUUCACUAAGAGAUUGUGUUGAAAUGGUAUUGCUGUCUUUAUUUGUCCAUCUGUUUUUGAAAUGGAAGGAGAUUGGAAGCAGGAAUGGGAUCCCUUUCACUUGUCUGAGGAAGUCAUGUGAGAUUUUGUUAACAAAAAUCAAUGCAAAAGGUAGUCAAUCAUAAGACACAAGUCCACACGAAAUCAAACUUCAGUAGUUCUGAUGUUUACACAAGCACCUCGUAGUUGGUUCAUGUCCAGCAAUGGAUUAAGCCAAACUGGCUGGAAACAGUUAGAGAUGCUGGUGGUAUGCCCUGCCCACCUCCCACAGGUUCCCACUUCAGCAGCAGGAGUGGCUCAAUGCCUCCUUAAUCAGCACCUGGGUUUCUGCGUUCUGCAGAUUGGCGCAUUAAGGCAAGCCAACAUCAGUUUCUGUUCAGGCUUAAGCCAGAGCAUUCCUGCAGUGGGAGAUGUCUCUCAAGAGAGAUCAAUGUACCUAGUGGGGUAGAUGACUCGUCAGCUGCACCUUAAUCUAUAGGGUGACAUAUAUAUUAAUACCUUCAUCAUUAUUUUGUUAGAGGAGAAUUUUUAAUAUAUUGAUCUGAAAGAUCACAAAUCAUUAAUGGAAAUGUAAAGUUGAGGGGGUAUAAGAUGUGGGUGAUAGCAGAAGGAUGCCAAGAGGAGCAGUCACGACCAUUAA